rnacentral:lncRNA from 1 species
AGCUCAUGUAGUCCUACAAAAAGAUGCUGUCUCUUUAACUGUCCGUGUGCUACGCCCACCUUCCCAGGAUACACCUGUCCCAUCUGGGACCAUUUUGCAUGCUCAAACUCCACCCCAUUUGCAUGUUUAAUGGGGGGGGUACCACCCCCUUCCUUAUAAAAAGACGUGGCGGGCAGGAGAGAGUGCGCACUCCACCGUGGACCCAGCUUGGAGGCACGGCUCUCGGUUUCACUCUUCCCACUGCAGCAGUAGAUGGAGUUCUGUUACGGUUUGGAGGUCCCUUGUACCAGAUGGAAAAUAUGGGUGUAUAUAAAGGAGCAGAAAGCAUUGGAAAUGCUAACUACGUGUGUAAGUAUAAAAGCAUGUGUCCUGGUUACUUAAAUCUUUGCAAGAGGUACUUGGGUAUUUUUGCAAAAACAAUAAUGCAUUAUGGGUUCAAAACAUGUAACAGUAAAAUAUAUUAAAACAAUAGCACAAAAGACAGAAGUGCUGAAACGUAUGCUGUUGUAAGAUUCUUUUAUAAUAUGCAUUGUGACAAAUCAUCACUUGGAGUUACAGUUGAAUAAAAGAGAUAGGCCACAGUUAAAUCA